CUUAGAGUUUGAUCCUGGCUCAGGACGAACGCUGGCGGCGUGCUUAACACAUGCAAGUCGAACGAUGAAGCCUUUCGGGGUGGAUUAGUGGCGAACGGGUGAGUAACACGUGGGCAAUCUGCCCUUCACUCUGGGACAAGCCCUGGAAACGGGGUCUAAUACCGGAUAACACUUCCUCGGGCAUCUGAGGUGGUUAAAAGCUCCGGCGGUGAAGGAUGAGCCCGCGGCCUAUCAGCUUGUUGGUGGGGUGAUGGCCUACCAAGGCGACGACGGGUAGCCGGCCUGAGAGGGCGACCGGCCACACUGGGACUGAGACACGGCCCAGACUCCUACGGGAGGCAGCAGUGGGGAAUAUUGCACAAUGGGCGAAAGCCUGAUGCAGCGACGCCGCGUGAGGGAUGACGGCCUUCGGGUUGUAAACCUCUUUCAGCAGGGAAGAAGCGACUGAGUUUUCUCGGGCGUGACGGUACCUGCAGAAGAAGCACCGGCUAACUACGUGCCAGCAGCCGCGGUAC
rnacentral:rRNA from 1 species